UACAAUCCUCUAGCCCUCCUAAUGUUGUGAAUGGAGAUGCAUUUAGAGGGAAUCUAAACUGAUGUAUGCUGUUGAUCCCUUAUGAAACAGUCUAUUGUUAAGGGCUCCCAGCCUGGAACAUAUGCAGUGAUGUUGUCCUGGAGAGCCAAGAACUAGGCCUGAGAAACCUGAACUCUCAUCUACCACGAAGGAAGCAAGGGAGGGGAGGCAAAGUAGUCAGGCCAGAAAGUAACAGACGCUGAGCAUAUAAACAACUUCACUGCGUGCUCCAGUUGAGUCAAUGCCUGUCGGUAAGAGCCUCCCCUCAGAGAAGACACUACAGAAAGGAAUACAUCUAAUUCCAAAUACUUGAGAAGCUGAGACCCCAGAAAGACCCCACCAAGAGGUGAUCACAGGACCUCCUUCCAGAGAUGGCCACAAUCUGCAAGAUAUUCCUGCUGUAUGGGUGCCAGGUAAGAAAUCAGGAACCACUGUAGUCUCACUACAGAAGAGCGCUACAGCUUUGGUCAUUGUUUGGUGACUUGCUAUGCCCCCAGGACAUAAAGCAAAUGACUUAGCGACCUUCAGAUAUUCUACAGUGUCCAUCACUGGAGGGUCUGAGAGUAAACCUUUCUCAAACUGGUCUCUCUUAUAACCAACUGCUGUACAGGGAAAAUACUUUGUCUACAGCUGCUAUAGGAACCUGCAGAAACCUGGUGUCUACUUGGAAUCCUGGACCAGGAUCACUGAA